rnacentral:tmRNA from 1 species
GGGCACUAUUCGACUUGAAUUGCCACGCCGCUGCCACCAUAAUGCGGGUUAUGGUCGUAAUCCCGGCGACCCGGAAGCGUUCUGGACGCGGGUUCGAUUCCCGCCACCUCCACCACUGGGGUACUGGUUUCGACAGGGCGAACAAGGCCAGCAGGCGACCCGAGAGGCGACGGACGUAAUCCGCGCAAAACCACAAACGCCAACGAUGAGCGUUUCUGCACCUGGCCGCCUAAACGGCCUGCUGAGGAUGUAGCCAUCCAAGAAACAGAAUGACUACCGGCGGGCGCUUUCGGCGCCGUAGUCA